UUCUAAAAAUGAUUACGUGUUUUAUAAGAUUUUAUGCAAAAUGACAUUAAUGUCUUUUCAUUGAUAUAUCCGUCACACAAUAUAUUUAAUAUAAAUAAAUUAUGUCAUAUUUAAAGUCACUUUAAAUUUGGUAAAACUAAUAUCUUU
rnacentral:sRNA from 1 species